CCAGCUCUUUUUUGACAAUCAAGCAUCGGGUAAUGAAUUA
rnacentral:sRNA from 1 species